CCUACGGGAGGCAGCAGUGAGGAAUAUUGGUCAAUGGACGAGAGUCUGAACCAGCCACGUAGCGUGAAGGAUGACUGCUCUAUGGGUUGUAACCUUCUUUUAUAAAGGAAUAAAACGAGGCACGUGUGCCUUUUUGCAUGUACUUUAUGAAUAAGGAUCGGCUAACUCCGUGCCAGCAGCCGAGGUAAUACGGAGGAUCCGAGCGUUAUCCGGAUUUAUUGGGUUUAAAGGGAGCGUAGUUGGGUUGUUAAGUCAGUUGUGAAAGUUUGCGGCUCAACCGUAAAAUUGCAAUUGAUACUGGCAUUCUUGAGUACAGUUGAGGUAGGCGGAAUUCGUGGUGUAGCGGUGAAAUGCUUAGAGAUCACGAAGAACCCCGAUUGCGAAGGCAGCUUACUAAACUGUGACUGACAUUGAUGCUCGAAAGUGUGGGUAUCAAACAGGAUUAGAUACCCUGGUAGUC
rnacentral:rRNA from 1 species